GUUCUCAGCAGAGGCCGGGGAGAGGCAACAGGGACAGAAGUUGCAUUAGUGCAUGGCAUGGUUAAAGUAUUGGAGGACAGAGUGAAAUCAGGGCAUCUGGCAUUUGUGUGUGUAAGAGAGGUAACGUUACUUACGGAGAGAAUGGUGUCGAGGAACUGUUCAUCCUUCUCAAUCUGAUGGAGGGUCGCUAUUCUGGCUUCGAGUUCCACUAUCUUUUCGCUGAGAAGGACGCAUGAGUCGCAGCCUGGUGCACAGCUGAGGGGAGGCAUCGUGUCGCGGCCGGUGUCAACUGUUUUUUAAACGUUUGUUUGCUAGUUGACUAGCAACAGCGAUAUCGUGCAGUUCCUUGAUAACUCGAACACAGGUAGCGGGUAAGUAAUCUGAGAAGAUCUCACUUUUAUAUUGAGUCACUAGUUUUGAGAGACGUUAGAAGGAGUUUGAUGCUUUCUUCUUCCAGAUAUCGUUUCCUUGGCCAGGUAUUAUUUGCAGCCCACGUUUAACGUUAACGUUUGACAGAAAAGUUUGACGAUCAAGUUUAUAGAGUCCGAUAAUCCAAAGCCUCGAGCAACAACAGUUUAUGCAAGAGUUUGUUCACGAGAUAUAAUCGGUAGCCAGUAAAUCCGUAGAAAGUAGAUGGUAACAAGGAGAUUUAAGAUAGAUAAGUUUGGAAGUUUAGGUAGUUACAUACGGAGCACGCCGACCGGAACCGGAAAAAGUCUUCUUUGGGCCUUCCUAAAUUGUUU